GCUGCUUCUUUUUCUUCUUUGAGGUGAAGGGGUUUGUAUGAGGUGUGAUGUUGAAGUUAGGGAUGCACCGAUACCAGUUUUUCCAGAACUAGGCCAAUGCUUUCAUUUUUGGUAUUAUCAUUGCCUGUAUAUUCAUAGCAAUUUUUUAAUAUUGGGUAGAGAAACCAAAAGAAUAUGAAUCAUAUUCAUUGGUUUAAUUUAAGCAAAUAUUUAUUUCCUUCAGUUAUUUUUAUGCUUAAUUAUGCCUGUUAAAAUGUAUUGUACAAUCUUCUGUUACUUUCACUGUUCAGUCUAUUGCUUUUCAUAUUUGAUCUUUCAUUUAAUAUUUAGAGCUGCUUCAGCAGGGCUCAAUAGAACAAAGAUACAAAUUAAAUAAACAGUGGUUUUCAGAUCAAACUCUGUUGAAGUGAUCAUGUGCGCGGCUCAGUACUCUGCUCUUUGCCCUCCCACUUCUCAUCUGAGCUCGAGACAAGAUCUCACUGACCCUUUGAAAACUUGCAUGACAUGAUCGUUUUGGGUAUUCCUCUCUCGCUCCAUUCUUGCGCGGUUACAUGACUGCGUGUGGAUAGAGCCUUACGGAGGUCUGUAAAAAGUGCUCUGAUCAUAGGAAUCAGUUCAGAUUCAAAACUGUAUGGUGCUCUGCCAUUGUUUCCCCAGCUUUUAUGUUAAUGACUGAUUCAUCCGAGAGGGGGGGAGGCAGUGGGCUGGGUAGGGGGCUUCUCAACUACCAGUUUAAUUUAAAAUGCAUUAUUACAGUAGUAGGUAAUUACCUCCUUGAUGUUGGAUUUAAAUGUAAUGAUUUAAAGAAAGAGUCGACAAUAACUACAAUUAAAAUGGCGACUCGCAGUGCUUUCCAUUUAUAGAUUUAGUCAGCAACAGGUCAUAUAAUAGGGAGCUUUCAGGGUGUGGUUUCUCCUCUCCUCCCUAUAUAUCACAUGUAUGUGCAUAUAUGCAUUAUGUAUAUGUGUGUAAAUCCUGCCAAUGGUUAAUAAUGGGUAUUAAUAUUAUAAGUGGUGUGAAUCUUCACUUGCCUCAUGAUUCGAUUACGAUUUGGAGAGUAACAAUUUGAUUAUAAAACAAUUCUCUGUGCAUCACAAUGCAUCUUUUCCCAAUUCUCAAUUACUAUAUUUAUAAUCUCUAGUUUUUUUUUUUUUUUUUUUUUUUUUUUUUUAAAAGAACAAAGAUGCAAAUAACAAGUGGUAAAACAAAUACAGUAUACAUCAUUUUACAUCUAUUUAACAAGCAUUCAAGUAAGAAAUACAAAAAUGGAAUCAAAUGUAAAAAUAAUUACUGCGUUAAUCACUGCACAAUCACUGCACUUUGUUUCAUUUGCAUCACUUAUUUUAGUGUGGUUCAGGCCAACAUUCUUGUUUGCAGCAGUCUUUUUGCAUAUUUUAUUACAGGUAAAAUGAGUAAAUAAAGUCUAAUGGGAUUGUUUGUCGCCACAGUAAACCAAAGCUACAAUAUACGAAGUGUUGAGACCGAUUAAAGGUGUUAUCGAUCAUGAUGAACGAAGUGUUCCUAGACAUUAUGAUGUAUUCUGUUGAUGCAAGUUAACCCUGAAAAACUUGACACAUGAAAUAAUAGUCUGAAAAAUAAAAUUUUGAAAUGUAUUAUGGCUGCUAUAGGGAGAAAUAUUAAGGUAAUAAAAGCAUGUGUAUGAGUAUCGUAAUUGAUACAUUAGGCUUUUAUGGCUCAUAUAAUGUGAUCGUAGAAUAUGGAGUUCAUAUUCAAGGUGGCGGGAAAAAACACUUCUGUUUUAUUCAGAGGUCAAAACUGAGAAAAAAUAUAUUCAAUUUUUAUGCAGUAUGCUGUAAAUUUAUUAUGGCCAAAAAGAUGAAAUUUUGAUAGCUUGUAAUGUAAAUCAAUUAGAUCUUUAUGCAUAUAGCAGACUACUUGGAUAAAAUGCAUAUGUUUCUGUAUCUCUCAAUAAUGUCUUGGUAAGAUAUUUAGGUUCACUUUCACUACAUAGAACAGGGAUGCAGCUGUCUGGGAAGUGCUUGACCUGGAAAUAUCUGACUGUCAAAUACCACCUUCUGGAUCCAGACCAUUAAUUAGCUUAUACGUCACUAACAAGUGGCAGACGGAAUGGAAUGGAAUGAAUAUAAAAAUAAUAAACUGUAUGAAAUAAACCCCAGUAUAAAAAGAAGUUUCUUCCAUAACUUCAAAUCUAGACCUGACCAAGUCGUCUUGACUGGGUCAUUCAAGACUCACACACGUGGAUUUGUAUUGAAAGGAAACGCUCCUCCUUUGUCUCGUCACGUUUCUUUGACUGGAAAACAUAUUCUGUUGGACUGUAAUUUUUAUGAUGCUAUGAGAUAACAUUUUUAUUUGGAAAGGUUUAAUGUAUCGCCUGAAUGCAUUUUAGAUUUCCGGUCUUGUCAAGGUUCAAUGUAGUAUUUUAAUGGGUAUGGAUUGUUUACCUUGUGUUUGUCAAUAGCCUUGAUGCUAACCUGCUUAGUUUUAUGAUCAAAGCUCUGUACUUUUUAUUGUGGGGCAAAUGUACAAAGAAACAGUCCUCAAAAGCCUAAUGUAUAAUUUUAAGCAUUUUUGUAUACAUUUUAACAAGAUUUUGGAUGGUUGUAUGUGGAUAAGCAUGUAAGCAUGCUUUAGUCCAGUACGUGAUCAGAAUAAAAUUUUAAGUUUACUUUAUAAAAAUCAGUAAAGAUUUCACAGUAAAACAAAAUGCGUUAAUCACAUGAAGGUGAAAAUUUUUUUAAAUGAUACUGAAAAGGACUUUUACUUGAUAAAGUAUAAACUGUCAAUCAGAAGGCCAUGUAGUAGAUUGUGUACAACAGGUGUUUCAGUUUUGAACUGAGUGUUCUGUAUUUUAUUCAGCUUAAGAACCACUUUUGUCUGUUGUAUGUAAUUGCAUCUGGUGUAGGCUGAGAACAAUUAGUAACUAAUUGGUGUAUAAGUGAGUUGGUUUUUGGGGGUUUUUUUUCUCUCUGUAGCAUCUUGCAUUUUAAUACCAUGUCAAAUUUAAAACAACAGUUCAACUUGUAAAAGUGUAUCUAUCAUGACCACUGAAUUUAGUUUAAUUUCAUUGCACUUACUCUAGCUGAGUGUAAAAAUGUCCUAUGUAAAUGGACACAUGCUUUGUUACCUUGCCAUGUUGAAGUAGCUUAUGAUCCUUAUUCAGGUUAGAGACCAUUUAUUUAAAAAAAAAAAAAAAAUCAUAAUAAUAAAAGAGAAUAAUCUGUUGUUUCUUUAAGGGGUUAUGCAACAUUGACCGUAAACCUGUUUAAUUCUUAUAAGUGUGUGUGUGUGUGUGUGUGUGUGUUAAAGUUUGGAUAAUCAAUACACCAAUACAGCAGACUGUGCAUCUG